rnacentral:rRNA from 1 species
UGGGGAAUUGUUCGCAAUGGGCGCAAGCCUGACGACGCAACGCCGCGUGGAGGAUGAAGGUCUUCGGAUUGUAAACUCCUGUUGCCCGGGACGAAAUGCUUCGACCUAACACGUCGAAGUUUGACGGUACCGGGUGAGGAAGCCCCGGCUAACUCUGUGCCAGCAGCCGCGGUAAUACAGAGGGGGCAAGCGUUGUUCGGAAUUACUGGGCGUAAAGGGCGCGUAGGCGGCCUGCUAAGUCGAACGUGAAAUCCCCGGGCUCAACCCGGGAACUGCGUCCGAUACUGGAAGGCUUGAAUCCGGGAGAGGGAUGCGGAAUUCCAGGUGUAGCGGUGAAAUGCGUAGAUAUCUGGAGGAACACCGGUGGCGAAGGCGGCAUCCUGGACCGGCAUUGACGCUGAGGCGCGAAAGCCAGGGGAGCAAACGGGAUUAGAUACCCGCGUAGUCC